rnacentral:rRNA from 1 species
AAUGAACGCUGGCGGCGUGCCUAACACAUGCAAGUCGCACGAGAAAGACUGUUUCGGACGGUCGAGUAAAGUGGCGCACGGGUGAGUAUCGCGUAGGUAACCUGCCCCUGUAUCGGGGAUAACUCCGCGAAAGCGGGGCUAAUACCGGAUGAGACCCUGGGAUGGUGGUUCUGGGGUGAAAGUGGGCCACUCGAAGAAGCUCAUGUACGGGGAUGGGCCUGCGUCCUAUCAGCUGGUUGGUGGGGUAAUGGCCUACCAAGGCGACGACGGGUAGCUGGUCUGAGAGGAUGAUCAGCCACACUGGCACUGGAACACGGGCCAGACUCCUACGGGAGGCAGCAGUGAGGAAUUUUGCGCAAUGGGAGCAAUCCUGACGCAGCAACGCCGCGUGGGUGAAGAAGGCCUUCGGGUCGUAAAGCCCUGUCAGGUGGGAAGAAAUGUUCCGCCAAGAAACGGGUGGGAUUUGACGGUACCACCAGAGGAAGCACCGGCUAACUCCGUG